CUGACAGGAGUGUCCCGGGGGGAGGCAGCAGGGCUGGGGAUGGCCUCAGGGCUCUCUUCUGGCUCCCAGGUGUCUUGGGAGCUCUCGAGCUCUGGCUCCCAGGUGUCUUGGGAGCCCUCGAUGUUUGGCUCCCAGGUGUCUUGGGAGCCCUCGAGGUCCGCCUCAGGGCCGUUGUCGAGCUGGCUGGCAGGACGCGGAUCCAGGAAUCCCAGGUGCUCGAGGUACUCCUUGCUGCAUAUCUGCAGCAUGAUGGAGAUGAGCCGCUGCACAAAGCUCAGCGUGUGGCCCUGCAGCAACGGCCGCAGCUCCUGCACCAAAGCCUGCUCAUCCAGCCCGCAGCGGCACAGCCAAGCGAUGACGGUGGCCUCCAGCAUGUCCUGGUCCCACCAGGCAGCGUUGAACAGCUCCCUGGCUUGCUGGCGCACCCAGGAGCGCAGCGGACCGAGGACUUCCAGGUGUUCCCUGAAGAGGGCCACCCAUUCCUCAGGCAGGAGGCCUCCCACGGCAGGCUGGGGCACCGGCUCCGCAGCCCCCUGCUCGUCCUGCUGGCUGUCAGCUUGGGCCUCUGCGUCGGGGACAAGCUGCACCUCCAGGAAGUCGUCUUCCGCCCAGAUGGAGUAGCAGAUGGAGGUGAUGCGCUGCCUGCAGAGGGGGCAGGUGCUGCUUCUCUUGGCCCAGCGCAUGAUGCACCCGAAGCAGAAGCGGUGCAGACAGGGGAGUACGUAGCUGGGCUCCUUGGGGGCCCCCUGGCACACAGGGCAGGUGACGUCCUUGGCCUCACUGGCCAUGGCGUCAGCUUGCUGCAGCGGGCUGGGGAGAGCUGCAGAUGGGGAGCUGCUUCCCCUGGCUGGCGCCGCUGCCACAGGUGCUGUGUGCUGCAAGAAGGAGAGAGGCCAGGGUCAGUGGCUGUGCCGGAGCGGGCAGCGGCAGUGCCCCGGCCCCUCAGCAGGACAAAACCCCAACGCGACCCCCGGGGCACGUGUCCCCGCACAGCUCACCUGCACUGCUGCGAGCGCUCCCCACACAGCCCCGGCUUCCUGAGCCAGGCAGGGCCGGGGAAACGCAGGCACUGGCUGCGGGGACGGGCACUGAGAGCAGCUGCCGACGGCCCCACAGCACAGCUCCAACAACUCCUCUCAAGAAAUCCUUGCUCGGCACUCCAAGCCUCGCACACACGCUCAGCGGGAGUCCAGGCACGAGCCAGGCUGGGCCAGGCUCUGACGGCGCCCCAAGAUAAGCAGGGAGGCCUGUGAGGUCACAGCCCAUCGCUAGGUGACCUCAGGGCCCAUCUCUCUGGGUGACCCCCAAAAACCAAAGCACGUGUCUGAAAGCACUUCCUAGACGUUUUGUGAACUCCAGCAGUUCACAAAACUUGCUGCCAUGACCACUUCACCGGGAGGCCUGUUUCAGUGCAAGCCCCAUGUUGGUGAAAAAUCUUU
rnacentral:lncRNA from 1 species